CGGGUGAGUAACGCGUGAGGAACCUGCCUCAAAGAGGGGGACAACAGUUGGAAACGACUGCUAAUACCGCAUAAGCCCACGGCUCGGCAUCGAGCAGAAGGGAAAGGAGCAAUCCGCUUUUGAGAUGGCCUCGCGUCCGAUUAGCUAGUUGGUGAGGUAACGGCCCACCAAGGCAACGAUCGGUAGCCGGACUGAGAGGUUGAACGGCCACAUUGGGACUGAGACACGGCCCAG
rnacentral:rRNA from 1 species